AACUCUUCUCCCUCGCGAGCCUGACCCGAGCCUUCUCCUCUUCUUCUCUCACGCCCGACGCCGGCCCUAACCGCCGGCCGGCGGUCUCUUCCUCCCCGAAACCCGAAGCCAUUGCCUCUUCCCUUCUUCUCUCCCCGUGCGUGCCUGCCGAGCCUCACCCGACGACUCCACAGCCCGACGGCUGUGCCCUAAUCGCCGACGCACCCCUCGAUGCCCUAGCCACCCGGCGCCGCCGAUCGCCUUCUCCUCUUCCUUCCUGUCCAAGCAUCGGCGUCGCGUGAGCCACUGUCGACCCAUUGUCGUCUUCCCUAGCGUCGCUCCGUUGCCGCCGCCACCACCACACGGGACAGCGACGACGCCCCACAGUAGACGCGGCCGGGAGUUCCCACCGUGCCCUAGCCCCUCUUAGUGGAUAACCGGCUGCCAACGCUCAAAGUCACUGUCGAUUUGCAGCCUCUGCCCUAACCUCUGCUUCCGACGUCGGUAAGGGUUCUGCCGUGGCCACCAUUUGGGAUCCGUAUGCCUUCGUUGCCCUCUGCUCUAGUUUACUGCCUCAGUAGCCCCUUGCUGGAAACAACACCGGAGCCCUAAAUCCUCCGUUCUCUAUUCCAGUGAGUUACUGGAUGAAGGCACCUAGUUGGUUCCGGGUAUCACAACAUUAAUAGUUGUUGCUGUCCCUACUUGAUUCCGGCCAUCACACCCCUGUCAACAGAUUGGCACAUCUGAGUGGGAAGGAUUUCAGCAGGGAGUUUGUGUUCUGUGGGCUUACUUGGUUCUAGCAGAAAAUUCCGACCAGCAGCACCCCUUGUUCCAGAAAUCAAUAAGGCUGAGAAAUAAGAAAACCUAAAGCUCUUCCGUAUACCCGCCACCUGGAGAAGAAGAUCCCAAGGUAAGGUAAGAAGGUCAAACCCUCAAAGUUAGUCACCCUUUUUUGUUUGUCUUUCAUGUCUAUCGACACAUCAAUGCAAUUUUGUAUUAUAAAUGCAGUUUUGUCUCUUUUUCUCCUUGAAAGAGAUUCGAAACUUCUUAAAGGAUAUUCUUAAGGACUUGGGUGAAUCAGAUUAUGAUCCAAAUGUAAUAUACUUAAUUCAUUACAUUAACUAAUAGUUAAUGUUCUCUUUGGCCUCACUUUAUUCGUUCAACUCUUCGGUCAUCUUACAUAUAUAUACCAUCUCAACCUAUUUUAUCUCAUUGGACCAUUGAUUGAAGUUAUAUCUAAUUGCUUUGAAUAUUGGUAUUUGUAAUUUUAUACUUUUUAGUAAAUUCAUACAUUCAUCUUAGUAUUAUCGUUUCUGCAAUAUUAACUUUUAGAAAAUAUUUCCUAAAAGCCAAAAAUUUCAAUUAAUAAAGAAUGGCAGAUUGACCUAGAAUUUUUCAAUGAUCACACGACUACAUGAUAUCCUUUCUAUUUUGCUUCCUAAAAGCCCACGACUCAGGGGGCGUUUGGUUCUCUUCAAGGAAUCGGAAUGGGAA